rfam:Gossypium hirsutum cultivar TM-1 chromosome 8, whole genome shotgun sequence
AGCCCGUGCAUUGGACAUUUCUAAAUUAAAUCUUUGAAUCAUUCCCAAGCUUCAUAUAACAUUUCAUACUCUAAUUGUUGAAAAUAUGUGAUGUCAUUUCUAACCUU